rnacentral:lncRNA from 1 species
CAAGACUAACACAACUGGAAUCACAUUCUUUGAACUUCUAUAACUCAAAAUAUGCAUCUAACCAACUUAAAAGGAUUUCUAAAAGCACUUUGAAAGAAUAAAUAAAAACAUCAGAAACUUUCUACUAACACAUAUCAUAUCAUGACUCUACUGCAUAAUUCUACUCACAAGGAUUCCAAAACAUCUUCAUUUGCUAUUUUAUGAUUUUUCUUCAAUUUACUACGAAUUUCCAAAUUUUAACCUUUUUAGAUCUAGGAAAAUUAAAGAAAUCCGAGGCCAUCUUCCAAUCUAGCCCCCAGGUCUACGGGUUAAUCAUGCAAAGGCUCCUGGAUUUUGUGCCUACACCCCUGGACAGAUUCCCACCUUAAACAUAACUCGUGGACUUUAUCCCAUAAC